CUUGAUCUGGCAACUUGUACCAGGCAAACCCUAUCUACCCGACAUUUCCCUUCCCCUCAUUUUCUUCCCGUCCUUGUUGGUCUCUCAGCGAGAAAGGUCGAUCGAUCGCCCCUUGAUAGAAACAAAUAGCACGAUACGAGAGAAGGUGAAGGCCAUCGGGCGAUGAGAGAGAUGGGAUCGCUGUGAGAGAGAUGGCAUCCACCAAGCCAGCCACGAUGCUGUCCGCCACCGCCAGGUCAAUGAUCCGCUCAUCAUUCCCUUCUCCGCGCCACUACGACGGGACGUCUUCCUCUGUGGUGCGAUCGACCCAUCGCCACGCGUUGGUGCACCCCAUCGCCUGUACGACCUAAACCACUAGUGGACUAUGCCCUAACAUCGCUAUGCUCGCUAGACAGAGGAGAUGGGUCGUGCGUAGAAAUUGGAUCAGCGACAGGGGGAUCCAGCCGUGCUCGAUGCGGGCGAUCUGUCCAGCCGACGCGCGUGUGGUUUGGGCGAAUCCAGCCCACUCGAGCAGGAUACGGACGAAGCACGCGAUGUGGGUGGAUCGGGGGAAGUGUGGUUGGGGAAUGAUAAGCUUGUGUUGUGCAUAGGUACAAGGAGGGACUCGCAAUGUGAACAUGCCCGCACAAACAAUCGUAGAAAUGGAAUGCGUCAGAUGGCAUAACUCUCCAUGAGGCAUGGAAAUAAAAACAGACUGCCCAAAUAAUUUUGUUGAAUAUUCCUAAUUUCUUGCUUAUAAUCAUUUUUACACUUCAAAGGCCUUUGAUUUUCCGUAUAAUUUUUGCAGUACUCUUUAUCUAGGUUUCUAUCUUCUUAUUCGUUUGGUAUGCAAAAUGAAUGUACUAGACUUUCUUCGUAAGCAAUACCAUAUGGUGACAAUAAUAUUGUACCAUGAACA